GAUAAGCUCCUUUCUGCAACACCUCCUCCCUCCCCACCACCAAAAAACACACACACUACCCACCCCAUACACGCCUCAGCUUCCUGUUACACCAUUGCGCCAGACACUCCCGUGGCCUCCUGGCACACAGCUGGAGCUAAUUCUUUUUCAAAGGAGGAUUUUUUUUUCUUUAUUAUGUUGCGCCUUUUUUUUUUUUAAUGAAAGCUUUUAGACUUGGAAUUAUUAUUAUUAUUUUUUUCCCCCCAUCUCUUGAGUUGUUACUAAGUUGCCAGGACCUUAUCAAAGGGAAACAAUCUCCAGCCAACUCCCCCAGGCUUUGGAACGUCAGAAGGGAAUGGGAAUCUUCUCCUCUCUGGAAGCAGUGCUACCCACUGAAGAUUUGGAGUGCUGCACAUACAGCUGCAUGAUUAUAAACGUAACUAGCAGCAUGGGGUGCGCUCCUCCAUUGAUAAGUGUGCUGCUACACAGCCAGGUUAUUCAGGCUGGCAGUGAGAGAGAAGCCAAAGAAUGACAGAGGAUGCCAAUCAGCUCUGCCAGUAAACAGCGGUCACCAAGAACUGGUGUCUCCAUGUGGUAUCACGGAAAACUAUGCAGAUAAAUUAUAUCCAUUCAUAUCAGCUGGAGCUUUGAAGCAGGAGGAUUGUGUUACUCGAAGUUGGGGAGUGUGGUGGCACAUCCCAGAAGUGGAUGCAUGGGAAAAAUGUUUUUUGUUUGUGACCAGCUCUAAUAAAGGAUGAAU